AUCUCACAUACGUACGCAUGCGCAGUUCUCGUAUUAUGCUUAUGGAUGAAUGCACCUGCUGCUGUUCAGGGAAGAAGGGAGAAGAUGGCGCGGGGAUAGUUUUGGGUGCCAUUUUCCAGUGUGGCAUCAUUAAGACACCUCCACACGUGUAAAGGGUCUAUAUCUAUCACAAGAGCCGACAGGGAGCUCUGGCGUGGACUGGUCCAUGAGGUCACGAAGAGUUGAAAACGACUGAACGAAGGCACCUGUGAGCUGUUUCCACCAACUGUAAGGCAAUAAAUAACAAGGACUGUUAGAGGUGGCACCACUAUGUAUAGGAGACAAAUAACAAUACUUUCAUAAGUAUACUGGAUCUUCGAAUUCCCAGGUUCAAGUUGUCAAUGAGCUGUUCAUCUAGAUUGCUGACUUUGGGCUAGUCAGUUUCUCUGAGUCUGCUCUAAUUCACAGGGCUGUUGUGAGGAUAAAGGUGGUGAAGCAAAAGAACUAUAUACAACACCUGAAGCUUACUGAAUAAAAGACUCUAUAUAAAUGUAACUUCUAAACAAGUAUUACCCAAAUCCUACACUCCUGGAUCCUGAAAACUCACCUGAACCCUCAUGAAGUGCUUGUAACCAAGAAGACCAAGAAUUCUACAUUGAAAAACUGUUGGAAAUGACAACGUUCUUCAAGCCUUCUCUAGUAAUGUUCAUCUAUGAUCAAGUUGCUUACUGUUUGUAUGUAUGUUCUGGUAUGCAGCCUCCUCUAUGGUUCCUGAGACGUUAUAAAAGGGGCUGAACACCACAUGAUCAAAGACAGACUACUUCUGACUAAAGACUACUUCAGACUUCAGAUCACACGCUUGCUUGCUGUUUUGCUGUAAGAGAUGUCCUGACUGGAUUAUCUCAAACAUAUCUUAAACUGGAAUGAUAAGUUUUGUACCUAUGUAGGCUGAACACAUCAAAGUUGUGAGUAAAUCAAAUAUGUUAUUUUUUA